AUGGCGGGCGCUCUCGCAAUCGCGUCCGCCGCCGGUUCUUACGACCGCGAUUGGGCGGGGCUGCCGGAGGAAAUACUCCUGAUGUUCAUGCGGGAGCUGGAGAUCCCCGACCUCGUCCGCUCAGGUGCUGUCUGCGCCUCGUGGCAUGCUGCUUACCUAGNNNNNNGCCGCCAUCGCUUCCCCCUUCCGAUCCCCCGGAAUCAGCUCCCCUGCCUGGUCUACGCAUGCCGCAAUUCCGCCGCAGACGGCGCCGUCGUCUGCUGCCCCUUCACCGGCGACUCCGUCCGAGUCCCCCUGCCGCAGCCCCCGCUCACCCGCCACUCCACGGUCGGCUCCGCGCACGGCUGGCUCGUCACCGCCGACGAGGCCUCCAACCUCCACCUCCUCAAUCCUAUCACGGGCGCCCACGUCGCGCUCCCGCCCAUCGCCACUCUCCACCACGUCGAGAGCUGCACCGACGCCCAAGGCCGCCUCAUGUACAACGUCUUCGACAGGGGCGAUCCCGAGCCGACCCCCUUUGACGCGCGCGAGGCCAGGGACUGCAUGUACCACCGUGUCACCCUCUCCUGCAGCCCGGCGGCUGGGAGCGCCUGCAUCGUGCUGCUGGUGCACAUGCCGAUCGGCGAGCUCUCCUACGCCCCGCUCGGCGACGAGCGGUGGACCUGGAUCUCGCCCGACGACCACCAGCUCAUGGCCAUCAGCUGGGGCUUCAUGGACUCUUUCUACAAUGAGGAUGAUGGUUUGUUCUAUGUGCUUCGCAGCCACAGAUCGGUUUUCACCCUCAAUUUCAAUGGGCCAUCUCUUGUUGUCAAAAAGAUCAUGCGCAGAGUUAGGAAGGGGGAUGAUCCUUCUAGCAUGUACAUCAUGCAAGCUCCAUGGGGUGAUAUUUUGCAAAUAUGGAGGUGGAGGAGCUACGUCGAUUCAUCAACACCCGUGGAGCUUCCUAGAGAUCUGCUGGGUCACAACGAAGAUGACAUAGACCGGUAUAUUGAGCUCAGAACAACUGAAAUAGAGGUCUAUAAGGUGGACCUUGAGAACCAGGCACUUGUGAAGAUGACAAGCUUAGCGGAUCAUGCACUAUUCCUUGGUUAUAAUAGCUCCAUGUGCUUUGCCACUAAAGAUUUUCCAACACUGAAGCCGAACUGUGUCUAUAUCACGGAUGACUCUGUUGAGUAUGUCAACAUGUGUAAGCAUAACUGGCGAGAAAUCGGAGUUUGGGAUAUAGAAAACAAGAGUCUGCAGACUUUUGAUAGUGUUUUGCUUACUAAUUCCUGGAUGAACUGGCCUUCUCCGGUUUGGAUAACACCCUCCCUUUUCUAG
rnacentral:rRNA from 1 species